rnacentral:lncRNA from 1 species
UUAUUUUUUUAUUGCUUCUUAACUAACAGUUACAAUUACCACCAUGUGUAAAAUAAGAUCAGUUUCAGGAUGACUUCAAGGCCCAAGUUUAUAACAUUGGCAGGCUACAGGAGGUGGGAUGAGUCCUGCCAAAGCUAACAGCUAAUUUGGGGAAGUCUACUCGGACAACUUUGGUAAAAUCAGCUAAACUCUCCUUAGUCUUUGUUUGCAGAAGUAGCAGCAGCUAGCUAACACCUUCUGAUUGCUCACCAUGUGCCCUUGACUGAGUUAAAUGUGUUAUAUGCAGACAACUGCGGUUGAAACAAGCUGCUACUCAUUAGCAGGAUGACUUAACCAUAAAAAUCUUCAAUUUUCUCUGGAAAAUGGGGAUAAUAAGCUCAUAUAAUCUCCUAGGGUUGCUGGGAGAAUUAAAUCAGAAGCUAUGAUAAUAAGGCAAACAGAUGCUUCUGGAGUGUAGCAGAUUGUAUUUCUGAAAAUGGCCACAAGAAUGUGCUCUCCUAGAACCUUGCCCAUGCCCCCAUCAAGAGGUGGAUGGUUCUUUGUGACAGCCACACUGAAUAGGAUGUGGUGGAGGUGGUACUGUGUGACUGGCUAAUAAAAGGUAAUAUGGCCUCUGUCUCUCUCUCGUUCUGUACUAUAAGAGUUCUGAACCAUCCUGUGACAAGUCUAGUUACCCUAAAGCUGUCAUGCAGGAGAGACCAUGUGGAGAGAAGGAGAGUUAGAGAGAGGAGGAGCCCCUGCUGUUUGAGUAUUCUCAGCCCAGACACCAGACAUGAGUGAGGAAGCAUUCAGGAAAAGACAGAAGCUGAUUGAGGUCCCAGCUUGGUAACAGUUUGAAGAGUUGCAGGACUGGCUGGAUGAGUACUGGCUGCAGCAAAUCAGGCUGCCAGGAUUCUUUAUGGCUGUUUCUGCUUCCACUACAGCUGAGUCAGAAAGGUCGCUGCCCCGUGGUGGCACUAGACGCAGUGGACCUGGCAAGCAAAUGUUUCCGCUAUUAGCUCUCAGCAACAGAGACUCAUUUAUGGUCACCUUGGAAAUCUGGGCUUAUCGAUCUACAGCCCAAGUCUGCUGAGAAGCUGGAGCUUACUAAAGGGGAAACCUGAGAGCUGUUCAAGCCCCAAAUAUUUUCCACUUCUGCGUCACCUCUGCUGUCUGUUAGCAGAGUGGAGGAGAAAAUACACAGCACAAACAACGUGAAAAAAUAGUUACUCUAUUCAUUAAAAGCUGUAACUUCCAGAUUGGACUUGAGAAGCAAUUAAGCAACAGAGGAACCUCAUCUACUAUCUGUAUUCAGGCAUGCUCAUGAGAACACGCUGCUCCAGCUGGACUUAGAGGAACCCGGUGCAUCACAGGCAUUCCUGACAGAGUCUCGUGGUCCUGCUGGUCCACUCAGUGGUACUCAGUCCUCCUCAUUCUCGGGGAUAGGUUCCAAGACCCCCAGGGGAUGCCUGAAACUGCGGAUGGUGAAAUGCCAUCACAUCCUUCAUACUCAUAUUUUUAGGACCAUAGGAGACCCAAUAUAUCUGUCUGUAUUGCAAUAAAUUACAAGGCUUUGACCAAAGACCCAGUUCCUAACUGACUGCUCUUGAAGCCAGCUCCACUGCAGAAUUAAGGAACAGAGAUGAGACUUGUCUGACAUGGGGAACUGUCACAGGAUAAUACCUUUGAAAAGCCUGGUUUUAGAACUUGCCUCUCUCAAUUUGAGGCAGUGUAUGUUUUUAAGUUUCUAAAAAUAAGAUAUUAUAAGAUUUGUAACAUUACAAUGACUGCCAAUGCAAAGAACCUCUGGGACUCUAGUGCAUCAGUGGAAUAUCAGCACAUUGAUGGACAUGUGGACUAUUUGGAUUCAGAAGACCUGGUUUGAGCUCAUCUCUGCUGCCAACUGUCUGUGUGACCUUAAGUAAAAUUAUCUCCUCUCUC